ACCUGGGUGGCUCAGUGGCUGAGUGUCUGCUUUUGGCUCAGGUUGUGAUCCCAGGGUCGUGGGAUCAAGUCCCACAUUGGGUU
rnacentral:tRNA from 1 species